UAUGGGAAUGGUGCACCUCCCACAAUUACACUAUCAAUGCAUUUCAUUGCAGGCAUUCUUACUGAUCUUUUUUUCGAAACUGAGAGACAAGACCUUUUUUUAUUGCGGAAAGAGGGAAUUGAUCAAUAAUUUUAAUGUUCUGUGCAGGCACUUCUAGCAUGUUGAUGAAAUCCUACUAUUCAAGACUUUUCUUGAAUUUUUCAUCCAAUUUGUUGCGGAGAAAUACCCAUUAUAUCUGUUGUUCUUGGGCGACCCUUUUCAGUAAAUGUGUAUAAAAUGCAAGCAAUCAUCCUGAAAAUAGCUUUCUAAGCUAGAAAUGUAUCUUUUAAUAAUUUGGAAGAUUUGUGUCUGGAAAUUGGUUGGAAAGUAUGAUCUGUAGCAUAAUUUACUCAGUUCUACCAGAUAUGACCUUUAGUUGAAAAUGAUCGUUUUAAGUUUAGAUGUGGCACUAAUAUGGUCUGUUGAUCACAGGUUUGGUGAGAUUGAUUUGCCCGUUGAUGACAUUGCUGCAGUUUUCCUCUUGGUGUAUUUUGGGGUUUCAACCUUGCUUGAUGUCACCUUAAGUGGCAGUCCAGAAGCAGAAGAUGAAUAAGAGGUAAAUAAUAGGUUAGUGGAGACCAUUUUCCUUGGCCAUAAUAUGCAGUAAACUUGAUCAAAAUAAGAUGAAAUACAUAAUAAAACGUUUGAAAUUUGAUUAAGCAGAAAAUACAACUUUAACAAUGUCUAUAUUUUCUGUUGUUUGGUUUUUCUUUUCUUAUGCUGCAACAUCUUCCCCUCUUGGAGUCAUUGGGGGAGCACUAGCUAGUCAUGGCGUUGCCACUUUGCUUGCAGUUUUGGGUGGUUCUAUUCUCGGAAUAUCUUUGUCAGAGAAAGGUCAUUGCAUACAUUGGAGGUGUUCUUAGUAACAUUGAUUGAGAUAGUAAGCUAGAAUUUAGGAAAGAAAAAAAGAAAAAAGUUCCCACAUUUUCUACUUGAUCAGGGGUUAAAAUCUGUAUGACUCAUAGAACAUAAAUUCCCUCCAUGUCCAUCAUGGAAGAACUGUUGUAGCAGUGAUAAUUAUAUUUUUCUUUAUUAGAGUAAACCAUUUUUUUUUUUAGAGGGGAGUUUCAAACUCCAUAUCUCCAUUUUGAAGGCUGUGGAUUAUGCUAACUAGGUCACAAACCUUUAGCCAGAGUAAACCAAUUUGAUAGUGGCUUCCUUCAUGUAUUGUUGAAGCAAAGUUCAAGAAUUUCAUGGCUUUGUUAGCUC